UUACUACAAGUGCAGCAGUCAUCUCACACUUUCACACUUUUACUGUCAGUCUAUCUAUUCUAAUUUGAUUUAAGCAAAUUUAGGGAAAUUAGGGAAUGAGAGACAUCAUCAAAGCUGAAAGAAGACAAAUAGCAAGUCAGUUAAUCAGAUACUGCAGGAAGCCUCAGAAGGACACAAGCUGAAGGACAACUGUAAAAAAGCUGCAACUUUGAAUGUUUAUGUCCUUCAAAUUUCAGUGAAUUUCCCAACAAAGUCAGUUAUGGAGAAACAUCUGCUCAUACUCCUAAUUUUCACAGGAGGCACAAGCGCGGACGAGACCGCCGGAUAGUGAGAGUCGCACACACGGGAGGACGUCGGCCCGGGAA
ensembl:lncRNA